UGGGGAAUUUUGGACAAUGGGCGCAAGCCUGAUCCAGCAAUGCCGCGUGAGUGAAGAAGGCCUUCGGGUUGUAAAGCUCUUUUGUCAGGGAAGAAACGGUUCUAGAUAAUACCUGGAGCUAAUGACGGUACCUGAAGAAUAAGCACCGGCUAACUACGUG
rnacentral:rRNA from 1 species